ensembl:snoRNA
AGCCUUUUGUAGUUUAUAAGUUGAUGAUUGGCUUUUCUUGCUCUUGUGUGAGUGAGAUGUACUUCUCGCAAAUCUUGUUAUGAUGUCAGCACGUUACCUACCAAAUG